rnacentral:lncRNA from 1 species
UCAGGUAUGUUUGCUAAGCCUUGGCAUUUCUCUGACAAUGCCAUUGCUUUUACUGAUGGACCUGGUUGCUAUUUGUUUUACUGUUGAUUUCUUGGAUUCUCCCCAAAAUGGUACCCAGAGCUCUUAGACAGUCACCAUCAGUGAUUAGUCACCAUCAGUCUAGUUUUAGUUCUCACUGAUUCUUCCUUAGCAAUCAGACCUUUAAGCUCUGCCUCACCCCCCAGCCAUAUGGACCUGGAACUGGGAAACUGGGCUGUAGUCAUGGAGAUCCUAACCAUUUGUGGUGGUGAAAAUUCCUGGGGAUGCAUUUUGUAGAAGAGUUCUAAUCAUUCUCUUUGUUAGAAAAUGUGCAUACAGCAACAAGUAUUUGCAAGGGAUCCUUUGGUUCUCUGGUCUACCUGUAUCCCAAUCUCUCUUCUCAUUCUGCUUUCCACUUGUACUAACUUCAGCAAAGGAGACUGACACAUGUAUGAUGUCAAAGGCUUGUGGUUAUUUGCUCUUGACUAUUUUGGAGUACCAGAUGAAGGCAAAAAGGAUGACUGAGCAAGGACUUAAUCUUAUUUCCUCUCUGCUUCCAGAACUACCAGAUUAGUUUGAGGAGUAUCCUUUUCUUGUAUAAUCUGGUUGAAGAUUGAAAGUAGCUAACACCCUCCAAGAUUCUGACAUUCUUUUCCUUAUUCCCUAAAACCCUAUACUUGAUACUUACAUGAUUUGAGUUCUAAGACACAUUAAGCAUCUUCCAAUGGGCGUAUUUGCUGUCAAGCAAUAGGUUUUGCCUUUUUUCCUAGCCUUGAAUGGAAAAUUCUCCACCUCACUUCAGCUCAGCCAAUAUCACAUUUUAAGGUCUGUUGUUUAUGAUACUCCACUUUUGGGCAUCAAAUAUUUUAUUAGUUAAAGUUUACUUUGGUACACAUUAUAGAAAUGUGUACCAAUGGCUUAAAUAGAAGGAACUUAAGGAAUUUGGCUUCCACAGUUAAGUCAGAAAUAUAGUUGUCUUCAAGCAUGUUAAUUAUAAAAGUUCAGUGUUGAGACCAGGACACAGGAUAGGUAGCUAUUUAUCAAGCAAAAGGAAAUGGAUACAUAACACUUCCCAUCACCCUGUUGCUAACAGCCUCCAGGAGAGGGGAAAGAUUGCACUUUCCAAUAUAAGCAAUCACCCCCUGUGUCUCUCUUCCUUGGUUACUUUUGGUCAUGUAGGCUGCCGCAGUGUGGCUGGGCAAAAUAACCGGGGGUGGGGGGUGGGGUGACAAGCAACUUGUGAAGGUUGAAACAGCGGGAGCCCUUUAUUGUAGGACAGCAGAGGUAUUUAUACCUAACUCAUUAUACACAGCUUGUUUCUAUUAACAUCAUCUAGAUACAUCAAUUAGUCAUUAAGGAAUCCUCAUCAUCUUAAUAAUUACACACAGCUUAACUUAAUUAUCAUCUAGAUACAGCAGUCAGUCAUUAAGGAAUCUCCAUCAUCUUAAUGGCUCGCUGGCGUUACUUCUCAAACCACUCCUCCUGGCAAAGUGCCAGGCGCCAUCUUGACUUGUCUGUGGCCCUCAACAGUAGGCAUGAAAAGAAACCUAAGAUCUAUAAAGGGGCAGGACGCCCCUGCUCACUAGGGCACCAGCUUUGGGGCCCCCUCCUCUCUGAAAGAAAAUCAAUCUCAAUCUCUCUCUCAUGCUUUAUCUCAAGCACUUUCCUAUGCAAUAAAAGUGCUUUAUGCUUACUUCCUGUUUUCACACAGAGUAUUUAAAAUAGGUACACUCAUUGAAAUUUAAAUAACUUUUUUACUCCUUCAUCAUCAAAGACAUUCUUAAAUGAGGUUUGCACUUUGUCUUUUCCCUGCAAGUGCAUGGCAGUGAAGGAUAUAGCUAUAGGUACAGUUUAGCCCCACUUCCUUGACUUAUGCUAAGACACCAGCAGCUUUUUUGUGUCAUUAAUAUAAAUAUCAACAUAGUGAACAAAGGCAAAUAACAUCUCAGUAUUUUAAAGAAAAUAAUUUUGACCACACAAUCCCUCUGAAAGAUUCUCAGAGACCCACAAAAAUCUGAAGAUCACACUUUGAGAACCACAGCCUUAUUUCCUAAGAAUGGAAAUAAAGAUAUUUUAUUAGGAUUCACAAUAAAAAGACCCAGGAGUAUGAGUUGCUACUUUGGCUUGUCCACUGAUUUUUUUUUCUCAAAUUUAUUAUUUGUUCUUUUUAGCUAUACAUGACAUUAGAAUGUUUUUUGACAUAUACUUACAUGGAAUAUAGCUUCCAUUCUUGUGGUUGUACAUGAUGUGUAGUUACACUGGUCAUGUAUUCAUAUAUGAACAUGGGAAAGUUAUGUCCUUUUCAUUAUACUGUCUUUCUUGUUCACUGAUUUUUAAUCUGUCAUUUUUGUCAUUGUAAUACUUCAUCUCAAGCAACUUUGAAAUGCUCGUUCUAAAUUUUCCUUGAGAAAUGAAGAAAGAAAGUCAAUUUAAUGGAAAUAGUUAAGGCAUAAAAUAUUGAUUCUUAGAAAAUCUGUGUGUUUGAUAAAUUCUAAAAUUGUCUUAUUUAUUUAUUUAUUUAUUUAUUUAUUUUUGGUAUUAGAGAUAGAACUCAGGGACACUCAGUCACUGAGCCACAUCCUCAGCACUAUUUUUUGUAUUUUAUUUAGAGGCAGGUUCUCAUGAGCUGCUAAGCACCUUGCUGUUGCUGAGACUGGCUUUGACCUCACAAUUCUCCUGUCUCAGCCUCUGGAGCUGCUGGGAUUACAGGUGUGUGCCACUGUACCCAGCUAAAAUGUUUUAUUGUUUAAGAAAUUUAAUUUUGAGGAAUAAUAUUAAUAUUUUGAUAUUUAGUUUUUAUGCUAUAGUAUAUAAAAUUUUAAUUUCUAUGAAAUGACUCUUUAUAAAUAUUUGUAACUUAAUUUUCAUACUUAUAAAAUAUUUAUUGAAUCAUAUACUGAUUAGUUUUUAGAAAUAGAGAAAUCUAAAGUUGGAUUUCGACCAUACCAUUUGCCAGCCAAUUGAGCAUGGAUUUUUAAUGUCCUUGAGCCUCAGUUUCCUCAUUUAUAGAAAACCGGGGCUAUUUUAUAUGAAUAGUAUAAUGGCAUAAUAAGUGUGAAACAGUGUUUUGCUGGCCACAUAGAAGGCACUCAAUAAAUGCUCACUUUCUUUCUUCCAUUCAUUUACUGUCCCUGUUCAUACUUAACAAGAGUGACAAGCACUGGACUGCAGUCUCACAUAGUAGAGGGAGUGUUGAUCUUUCUCCAUUUACUUCUAACUGAACACCCAAGCUGCUGUGAACCAUGCUUGGGGAGCAGACUUGUUUUGAAGCAGAUUAAGAUUCAGAUUAUAAUUGGGGACUUUUCUGUAGGAGUAGGAUCUUUCUAGAGAUACCUCAAAUAGAACAACUUUUGUUGCUAUCUUUUUGAUGUAAUUUUUUUCUGAUGAAAAGAUAUGAAAAAUGUGGAAGGGAAUUAAGAGUAAAAACAAGAAAGAAGAGUGAUAUGGUGGGGAGUUUUGUCAUUGUUGUUUUUCAGGUUUCAGGUUUUAUUUUUUUAAUACCAUAAGCUUUUUUUUCUAAUAGCUAAUACUGUUUUUCCUCAAAGAACAGCAUCAUAUAAUUAUAACAUGAAAACUGAAGCAUUAUUUGAACAUCCUAAAAAUCGUAUUAUCUUUACUAUUAUAAAUUUAAAAAUAAGAGAGCACCAAUGCCCCUAUAUCAUGAAGAGUUAGAAACUAGAAUUAUAGAAUUUUAUUUCUCACUGCUUAAACUCAUGAGUAAUGUUGCCGUCACAAGAGCAUUCCUACAGUAGUAGGUUCUACCUUAAUAAUACUUGGCAGCUCUCGACUCCUUUUACUGCUGAAUAUAUAAACAAAAUGUUAGAAGAAGUCAUCACAGUCUGAGGCAAAAAGAAUUGUUAAGCACUCGAUCAAUUUUUUUUUUUAAAUAACAAGCCAAAGAGCACCCAGAAUGACUUAUUUAGCAGCCAGAAAGUGUUUUUUAUUGAACAACUGUAAAAUAUACUGGGAGGUGCUGGUAUAGCUGUUAAGGGUAAUAGUUAAAAUAGUUAAAAAGGCACAUAGCUAAAUGGAAUAAGAUGGACAUCAUAUACAAACACAUACACAUAUACAUAUACAAACAGAGAACUUGUGGGAAAUAUAUGUAUGUGUGUCUGUGUGUAUGAAUACACAUGUAUAUACACAUAUAUAUACACAUAUAUAUACAUACAUACACAAAUAUAUACAUAUGUGUUUGUAAAAUAUAUAUAUUUAUAUGUAUAUAUAUGUAAUACACAGAGAUGGGGGGGAGAGAGAGAGAGAACUAUAGGAAAUUGCCAAUCUAAUUUCCCUUUCUUUGGGAGUUUUCUAAACUUUAACUUUAUUCAGCUCUGGUUUAAAAUGCAUAAAUAAAUUUAAAAGUUAAAUAGUAUAAAUUAAAAUAGACUGGUAAUCUGAUUUGAAAAGAUGACUUGCCAAACAGUUUCGGGAGGCCUGCGUUCUAGUCCUAAUUUUCACUCAAAAAAAUUUGUAAAUUUACUGUUUGGUACUGAAUGUUUGUGUAUCCCCAAAAUUCAUAUUGAAGCCCCAACCCUAAUGUGAUUAUAUUUGGGCCUUUGGGAGGUAAUUAACUUUAGACAAAUUUAUAAGGCCAGAUUCUCAUGUUGGAAUUAGUGUCCCUGUAAGAACAGGAAGAAACAGAAACUCACUUUCUCUCCCCCAUAUGUGGACACAACAAAGUGACCAUCUUCAACCAAGAAGCACAUCCUCACAAAAACCUGACCAUACUGGCACCUUGAUCUUGGACUUCCAACUUGCAAAAGCAUGAAACAUAAAUUUCUGUUGGUUAAGCCAGCUAGUGUAAGUUAUUUGUUCGUGGCGGUAUGGGCUGAUUAAUAAUACUCAUUCAAAUCUCCUUGAAAGGAAAUCGAGGCACCAGGAGAUGGUCGAGUGAAAAAUGAAAGACUGAGACCAGGCAGAGAUACACAUAAGAGUUUAUUUGUCAGAGAUGACAAAUAAAGGCACAUCUCUCCAUAGAUGCAGAGAGGCAAAACAGGCUUGGGGUUCAGGACUUUUAUGGGGCAGGCUCAGAGAUUAUGCAGGUGGUUAAGGGUGGGGUUGGCAUGAGGGAGUGGUGAUAUGCCUUUGGGCAGGAAAGAAUGCAGGCAGUGAAAGGUUGGGCUGGUAUGAGGGAGUGUGAGCCUUUUUCAGAUAUGCCCUUGUGUGGGAAAGGGAAAUGGCAGUUGUCACUUAAGAUGGCGGUCCAGAUGCUAAGCAAGGACCUUACACACCUAACUUAUUUUAGCCUCAGUUCUAUAAUUUAUAAAAAUAACAGGAUCCUAUUAAAUAAUUUUUUAGGUUGAUUCUUGUGCUGGAAUUUGAAUUGCAGUGUACUCUGAUAGUUUAAUUGUGGUGGGGAGAACUUGAGACUGUUUGAAAUUUUGAGUAUUUCUAAAGCAUUGCAUGUAAAAACAUGAAGAAGGCACAAUAAAUUUCUUUGCUAUUUUAUACUGGAACUUGGAAUACAGCUUGAAGUAGUCUUUACUUUGGAUUCAUAAUGUCACUGUCUCUGUGAGAUUCAGCAUUUUUUAUUGAAAAUGAGAAUUGUCUCUCAUCUUGCAAAGAUGUUAUUUGAAAUUGUCAUUUUGUCUAUUAUUUGGAUUCCUUUAAUGGAUAACAUUUAUACUCAGUUUUACUGCUUAUCUUUUCUCUUUAAAGCUAAUCUAAUAUAUUCUCAUUUUAUUAGUGGAAACCCUAUUAGUUUAUCUCUAAACUAUCACAAAAAAGUAAAUAUUUUUAAAUAUUGAAUUCCUUAACCACAUUGAUAUUCCAAAAUAAAAAGGCUCAAAGAAUUCCUAAUUUAAAGGGAUUAGAGAAAUUUGAAUUUUGAUCUAUUUAACUCUCACUUGUAUCAUUUACUUACAACACUUUCAUCAACACUUGAAUAACAUUUCACCACAGGUACAAACCUGGCAGAAAAGAAUUCCAAGUUUCUACAACAAUUGAAGUUUAUCAGUUAUCAUGCUGUGCUUAUAAAUAUUUUGUUGGCUUAAAACCCCAGAAUAUUUAAUUGUUAUUUUCAUCUGUUUGCAAAGAACUAGCUGCUUUUAAAACUUCAAUCCAGAUAAUGUGGAAGUAUCAACAGCUUCUAGUUGGUUUUAUUGAAAUCAGUUCAUCAGUACAACAGCUCUUUUUUAUUAACUACUAUUUUAAUGUCUUAUGCUAUGCUAGUGAAGAGCUGCCUAUUAUUGACAGUAAAAGUACUCAUCAUGUUAUAAUACAGAUUCUUGUAUGGCUGUAUUUAUCAAUUCUAAUAGCAUUAAAGUAACAUAUUAGAACUAGAAAAAUAACCACCCAUAAUCCAAUCAUUUAUUGUUUCAGAGUUCCAAGGGUAAUAUGUUCCAAAAGACCCUCACCCACUUAGCUCCUUCCUUAUGAAACCUACAAUGAGGAAGAUCCAUUUGACAUACAUAACAUUAAUAACAUACAUGUGAGCAUGAGGGAACACACUAUAUCAGUCUUUAAGGGUUUUGAAAUCUUGAAGGUCUUAAAAUCUGAUUGGCCCUUUGAGGUCAUUCAAAUUAUGCUAAGCAAGUUUUUAUUCUCUCAAAAUUUAUAAGGCUAGCCAAAAUUUAUUUUUCUUGCCAUAAAGAAUAACCAAAAUUUAUUUUUCUUGCCAUAAAGGAAAACUGGUGUGGGAAUCGGCCAAAAUAGAUUUCUGCUACAAAACUUCCAUUUCUUAUAUAUUUGAGGCUCGCUUAGAAAAUAUACUAUAAUUAUCAUUUUUCACAUAUAUAUGAAAAUGAUAAUAAUACUAAUUAUACUAAUAAUAUGAACAAUAAUUAUGAACACUAUAUUGAGUAGAAGUGUAUUUAUUAUGCCAUUAUAAUUUCUUAUUUUAUAGUUUGCUUCAAAAAUAUUUAUCAUCUGAAAUAACAAAUAAAUUAUAUUAAAUGUGGAAGAUAAUUAUCCCAAGAUGAAAAUUAAUGUAAACCAUCUAUUAUAAGAGAGGUAACAGAAAAUAAUACAAAAUAAUUCAGAAUCCUGCAUAACUUCUUCUUUAUUUCCAUCAGCUUUAUUCAAAGGUAAUAUAUACAUGACAAGUGUUUCUGUCCUGUUUAGAAGAUAGGAAAACCGAGACAAAAAUAUUUAAAUAAAUUACUCUAGAAAAAAAUGUAAGUGAUUCUCAUGAAGAUCGUGUUCAUAGUUUAGUUCAUACAGGUCCUUGUGCAUGUUUAUCAUUUAUCUUUGAGGAUUAUUCAAAUAGUACCAUGAAAAGAUAAACCCAUAUUAUUUGGUAAGUAAUGGUUUCCUUAAUAAAUUUCUAAUGCAAAACAAAAGUAGUUCUUCCAAAUUUCCAAUUUUAAAUGAUAUGAAAGAAGACCUGAUGUCAUGGAGUUCUGACGGUUUUUUUAAUUGGCAUGUGCAACUGUAAGAAUGGUUAAAAUUAGGGAAAAUUCAAAUUGACUUCUGAUUAUAUUCUCACCUGUUGUAUAUUAUAAGAACAAUUUUUAUGGUCUAUGGAGAACUGAGCUACAGGUAUCUGACAUCGGUACAUGAGAGCUAAACUCAGGGAGGCCCAGAGCUAACAGGAAGUAGAGAGUCACUGAGUCAUGUCAUGGGAAUUCCUGGCUAGUGAGCUUUGAUAACAUUCAGAUAGACCACACUGCUGAUUUUGGAAGAUUUGUUGUGGGAACCCUACGUAUUUACUGUGUUUAAAUAGUCUGGGCUAUUUAUUUCUUUUUAUUUUUCUUUUCUUUUUAUGCCAUAGCAGAGAAAACCUUGGCAUCGUGGUCUCUAUAGAAAAUAUUGUGUAAGCUCUCUGCUUGGCAGUUGUCCUAAGUGAUCAACUGCUCACUCUUGUAUAGGAGGCAGAACCAUAGCAGAAGGGUGUGGCAAAGGAAAGCAGCUCAAAACUUGGCAAGAGGAAGGAGAGAUCUCUGCUCACCAGGGACAAAUUAUAUACUCCAAAGGCACACUUCUAAGCACCUACCUCCUUAAGCCACACCUUACCUGUAUACAGUUCCCAACCAGUUAAUCCCUAUCACUUUAUUUUAAUUCACUGAUUAGGUUAAGGCUAUUCUAACCCAAAUAUUUCACCUCUGAACUUCCUUGCAUUGUCUCACACAUGAGGUUUUGGGAGACACUUUAUAUCUGACUAUAACCGCAGGUAAAAUAUAUAGUAUGCUCAAUGGCAAUAACUGCAUUGGGCGAAAAAAUAAAGCCAGAAAGAGGGGUAGUGAGUUGGUGCAGGUGGGGAUAUGCAGUUGCAAAGCAAGCAGUUGGUGAAUGCUGCACUGAGAAGAUGCGUUUAGAAUUGGUAUUCCAGAAUCCUAGCUCUUUCUGCCCUCUGUUAUAAAAGGACAUUUGAGGUGAACAGCUAACCCUGGGUAGUUCAAUAUCUUGAUGAGUACAUUGUCCCCCACAGUAGUUCUGCCUUUUUGGGUUUACUACUCUGUCUGCUGAGGAACUGACAACAAGUCAUUCAGGGUCACAUUGAGGAGGGCAUUAAUAUGGCACCACUUUAUUGAUUCUCUCAUUGCCCUUUUUCACUAAAUCUCACCUUUGAUCUUGAAUGCCUCCAGCCACUGGGCAUUUUCUGUGAGUACACAACUGUAAAUUUGAGGGCUGAAGUGUUAGAAUCCUAGAUUUGGUUUUCUUAACUUAAUUUUUUUCCUUAUUUUCCUCUUUUGAAUAUACAACGUUUUAUAACAGUUGGUAUAGGAGACAAUUUUUUUAAAAAAUUAAUAAGCUUUAAUUUUUAGAGUAACUUAAAUUUGUAGAAAAAUUGAACAAAAAAACAUAGUUUCCAAAUAAUCUCCACUCCCACUCCCUCACUCACAGUGUCACCUAUUAUUAACAUCUUACUUUAGUAUGGUACAUUUGCUAUAAUUGAUGAACCAAUAUGAUACAUUUUUUAUUAAUAAAAAAUCAUUAUUAAUAUUAGCAUUCACAACUGUUUUAAUGUCCUAUGGGUUUAGACAAAUGCUUAUGCACUUUAUGGAUCAUAUAAUAACAAUUCCUUGUUCAUUCUGGGACCUGGGUGAGGGACUGAGGCUUGAUGAGUGUACAUCCAGAGUAAGGAGGUGUGUCCAUGUCUGAGGGGUGGUUCCCUAAGGAGGUUCUGCUUGCAAUAAUUGACUUGUGGUUCAUAAAGUUCAAGUGAUGGUGAUGAGCUUUUCAGAUGUCCCAACCCUGACCACACACUAAAUGCUGAUUCUCUCUGAGAGAUGUGAUCUGACUGUAAGUACCUGUGUCCCAAACAUCAUAAAACCUUAUUCAACAGAACAGAGAUAUCUGAGAAUAUCUAUGCAAUGAGAUGCCUGAUCCUUUGGUGGACCAUAUUUGGAGCAAGUGAGUAGAAUCACAGGGCACUGAAACUUUGAGUGCUCUUGGGCAACUUAACCUCUUUGAGCCUCAGCAUUUCCAAUUUAAAAAGGCAUAAGGAUACUAAAUUCAUAAUUAAUGAGAUAAACUCUAUGAAGGAACUAGAUCACUCAGUAAAUAGUAGCUGUAGUGUUAUACUAUUAUCCAACUUUUUUUUAAUUGGUUGUUCAAAACAUUACAAAGCUUAUGAUAUAUCAUCUUUCAUACAUUUGACUCAAUUGGGUUAUGAACUCCCAUUUUUACCCCAAAUACAAAUUGCAGAAUCACAUCGGUUACACACUCACAUUUUUACAUAAUGGCAUAUUAGUGACUGUUGUAUUCUGCUACCUUUCCUUUCCCCUACUAUCCCCCCUCCCCUCCCCUCCCAUCAUCCCUCUCUACUUCAUCUGCUGUAUCCAACUUUUCUUAUUGCCCCAUCUAAAGGAGCUCUUGUGUUGAGGUUUCUCAAAAGAAUCCCCUAGUAUAAUGGUGCCAAACUUUAUUCCUCAUCACAUUUGGGGGUAUAAUGGAAAGAGUGUGUUAGAUUCCAACUUUCUAUUUUAUUAUUUAUAAAAACAGAUGGCACCCAGUUUAAUUGAUUCUAACUUCUAAAUAUUAAUUUUUAUUUAAAGUUUACUGUAGUACAGAUGGUAAAUAUACUGUAGCAAGUAUGAAAUUUGAGAAGUUUGCAUAUAAUUAAAAAAGAUAAAGUGAGAUUGGGAAAAGUUUCCGUGGCAGGGCAAGGCAAGCAAUUCCUUGAGGGGAAGAUCUUAUAUGUUGAAAAGGAUAAGGGUAUUGCAGAAGACCAAGGUUAAUCAUGAAACCUCACACCAGAUUCUCACAUCCUCAGCCCUGAGUCUUGAGAAUUUCUCUCUCCCUUUUGGAGCCUUUACCUUGAAUAAACAUUGGAAAAUUGUACUCCUUUCUUUUCUAUUACAGACUACUUGAAAUAUAUAUUGAUAUCUUCUGUAUAUAUAAGGCAUGUAGCUAAAGUAACCUUAAAUAUUUUUAACAUUUGGAUUAUUUUCUAUGUAUAUAUGUGAAAUGAUAAUUAUAUAAGUUGGAUAAGUAGAGCCCAAAGACAUUGAAAAAGCAUAUCUGUUAUACAUAUGUUGCUAAUAACAACAAAAUUAACAAUAUUAGCUGCAACAACAACUACAUCAACAGCCUCAGCAGUUGCUAAGCUUUUUCUUACUUUGUGCAAGGAGAAUGCUGAGAGUUUUACUUGGAUUAUCUCAUUUAAUUUCCACAACAAGUCUACAACACAAGGACUAUGGAUGUCUACAUUUCCCAGAUGAAGAAACNAUUGCAUUUUCAGUUUACCAAGUAGGAGUUUUGGGGAAAAUUAGGCUUAAUUUGUAAAAUCUCUCAUAAUAAUUGAUUUUAAAUAAUGGAGAUCAGUUACUCCCUAUGUGAAUCUGCCAUUUUCUAUUUCCUGAAUUGCAAUGGUUUGCUUAUUCUUUCAUCUUUGAUAAUUAUUUAUCAAUAUUUAUAAUGUUUAUUUUUAAUUUUAUUCAAUUAUGUAUUUGCCAAUAAUUAUAAUUAUUAAACUCACAAGAAAUUCUUAGCACUUAGAGAUAUGGUACUCCAAGAAAAUUUUGAAAAUUAAAAAUCUACAUUUGUAGACUUAUUUUUGUUACAUAAAUAUGAAUAGGUGAUCUGUAAAAUGCUUUAUUGAUAUCCUUUACUUUAGGAUAAAAUUCUAAUGAGCAAGUAGAACUGAUUUUAAGGAAAAAAAAGGAAUACAACAGUUGUCCUUCCUUACUCUGGGGUACAUUCCAAGAUUCCCAGUAGAUACUUGAAACUGUGAAUAGUACUGAAACCUAUGCAUGCUAUGUUUUUUCCUUUACAUACAUACCUCUGAUAAAGUUUAACUUAAAAAUUUUUGUAUAAUUUAUUUAGGGAAGACAGGAUUGGCGCUUGAUUCUUUUUAUUUACUAUUUUUCAAAAUAAUUACUUUGUCCACUAGCAUUUUCCAAUGGUGUUACUGGGAAUUGUUUCAACAUAUUUGUAUAAUUUAAUCCACUGUUGUAAAUAUGUUGUUUUCCUUAAAUGUUUCCCUAUUUGGUCAAUGGAGGCCUCUUGAAGUUGGCUGCUGGUUCUUUUGUCAUAAAUAUUUUUCAUAGCUUCCUGCAGGAUUUCAAGUAUGCUAAGACUCUUCAGGUUUAUCAUAAACAUUGUCUACUUCAGACUUGAAAUAAGCCAUUUCUCUAAGGAAGUAUUUUAGUCAGCUUUUCUGCUGCUGUGACCAAAUGACCUGACCAUUACAACUGAAGUGGAGGAAGAGUUUAUUUGAGGCUCACAGUUUCAGAGGUCUCAAUACAUCGACAGCCAGCUCCAUUCCCCGAGGCUUGAAGUGAGGUAGAACAUCAUGGCAGAAGACUGUGGCAGAAGGAAGCAGCUCACAUCAUGAUCAGAAAGCAGAGAGACACUCCACUCACCAGAUAUAAAUAUAUACUCAAAGCCAUGCCCCAAUUUCCACCUCCUCCAACCACACCUUACCGCUUCAGUUACCACUCAGUUAAUCCCUAUUGAGGGAUGAAGUCACUGAUUGGGUUAAGAUUCUUGCAAUCCAGUCAUUUCUCCUCUGAAACUUCUUGGAUUGUCUCAUGUGAACUUUGGGGGACCCCUCACAUCCAAACCAUAACAGAAAGUCUCUUCCUUUUUAGUAAAAAUAUGGAAUUUGAAAAAUCACAAAUUAUUACUUUUAUUAGUACUAGGCUAGUCAUUGUUCCUAAAUCUUUGCUGUGGAUAGGUAUAAGAAAUAUAUAUCUGUGUAUAAAUGUAUUUAAAGAAAAAAUAAUAAUAAGUUCCUAUUCUUGAUUUCAAUUUAAAUUCAGUACUAUAGGAUUUCUACUUUUCUGCUUUGAUUUUCUGUAUUCUCUUUUCCCAUAGCAAGAAUCCUGGUUCUGAAAAACACUGUAAAUGAUAUAAUAUCAUGCAGUAGUCAUUCGUCUUAUUCCAUAGUCUAUACAAAUGAUUUCAGAAUUGAUAAUUCCAAUACUACUACUUUCUAUGUUAUAUUAGUACUGGAACUAGUUAAUAUUCUUUUUUUUAAAUUUUUAUUGUUGGUUGUUCAAAACAUUUCAUAGUUCUUGAUAUAUCAUAUUUCACACUUUGAUUCAAGUGGGUUAUGAACUCCCAUUUUUACCCCAUAUACAGAUUGCAGAAUCACAUCAGUUACACAUCCAUCGAUUUACAUAUUGCCAUACUAGUGUCUGUUGUAUUCUGCUGCCUUUCCUAUCCUCUACUAUCCCCCCUCCCCUCCCCUGCCCUCCCCUCUUCUCUCUCUAAGGAACUAGUUAAUAUUCAUUCUUGCUAAUUGUUUAGCUAGUUCCUCUCUGCAUGGUUAUAUCUGUUUAACCUAUAUACAACACGAAGUAAAACAAAUAAAUAAUAAAAACAAUCUAAAGAAAAAAUAAUCUCGACUUAAGUCGACCAGUAUAGGUAUACAUAGUAGUUGGGUUCAUUUUGACAAAGUCAUACAUGCAUGGGAGCUUGAUUAACUCCAUUUAAGUCCUUUUUUUUUCUCUAACUUUUCCUCCCUUCUUCCCUUUAUCUAUUCUCCUCCUUGUACUGAUCUUCCUUUUUGCUCAUUUAUUUAUUUCUAAUGGUACUUUUUACAUAUACAUUCAAGUGGAAUUCUCUGUGGUAUGUUUAUAUAUGUACAUAGCAUGGUAUUGUUAAAUUCAUUAUGUAUAUCCUCACCUUUCCCAUUCCUCCUCCCUUCCUCUUGCUCUUUUUCUACUCCACUGAUCUUCUCCAUAUCUUUAUGAUAUCCAUCCCCCCACCACUGGCUUUUAUUCCUCAUUUUGCUACAGCUUCCAUAUAUGAGAGAAAAUAUUUAACUCUUGAUUUUCUGAGUCUUGUUUAUUUCACUUAGCAGGAUGUUAUCCAUUCUCAUCCAUUUGCUAGCAAAUGCCACAUAUAUUUCUUUUUUAAAUGUUUGAUAAUGUCCUAUAAUUCUGUAGGAUAUUAACUUAAAAACGGAAUGUAAUGGAGUCCUAGUUUCUAUUCCUGUCCUUUUUACUCUAUUUUCUUCCUCCCUUAAUAGAUAACCUUUUUUAAAUUUUUCUUUAUUUUUGUACUGGGAUUUAAACCCAGGGUCUCUGUACUACUGAGUUAUAUCCCCAGUCCUUUGUAUUUGAUUUUGAGACAGGGUCUCACUAAGUUGCCCAGGUUGGUCUUGAACUUGGAAUCCUUCUGCCUCAGCCUCCUGAGUAGCUGGGAUUGCAGAUGUACACUACCAUACCAAGCCAAUAGAUAACCAUUUUAAACAAAUUGGACUAUCCUUCUAUCAUCAAUUUAAAUUAUAUAAUUAUAUAUAAUACACAUGUAUAUGUGUAUGUUAUAAAUAUAUAUACAUUUAUAUAUACACAUAAAAAUACACAUAUAUGUAUUCCCCCUUUCUUUAAUUAUAAUACUCUUAGCAUCCCUUAUUCUACUCUUGUUUUUUCAUUUACCAAUAUAUUUAAUUUCAUUUGACAAUAUAUCCUAGAGUUAACUCUGUAGUGCUACAUAUUUUUAUUUUUUUCCUCAACACUUUAGCACUCCAUUUCAUGGAUGUACCAUAAUUUACCCAACCUGACUCUUACUGUGUACUUUUGAGUGUUUUCAGUCCUUGGUUUUUACAACUAUUACUUCAAUGCAAUGUGCAUCUGUCUUUUUGCAUCUUUAUUCCUCUGUAUCCUUGAGAAAGUGGAAUCAAUGCAUUUCCAGAUCCAAAGGUAAGUAUAGUGGUAGUUUUGCCAAUUAUUGCUAAAUUCCCCUUCAUAAGAGUAUUUCAUAUUUACAUUCCCACCUGUAAUGUAUGCAAUACCUCUUUCCUCUUGCCAAAAAAAAAAAAAAAAGAAUGCUGUUCAAGUUUUGGAGUUGUACUAAUCUACUAGAUAAGAAGUGGUAUCUCAGUGUGGUUUUCAUGUGUUUUUAUCUUAUUUUGAGGAAAGUUGAUCAUAUUUUGUUUUAGUCAGCUUUUUCACCCCUGUGACCAAAAGACCUGAAAAGAAUAAUUUUUAAGGAGGAAAAGUUUAUUUGGAGCUCAUGGUUUCAGUCCAUAGACCUUUGCUCUUGGCCUGAGAUAAGGUAGAACUUCAAGGCAGAAGGGCAUGGUGGAGGAAAGCAGCUCAGGACAUGACAACGAGGAAGCAGAGAGAACUCUGGCUCACAAGGGACAAAAUGUGUACUCUUAAGCAUGCCCCAUCCCACCUCCUCCAGCCACACCUUACCUGUCUAGAGUUACUACCCAAUUAAUCCCUAUCAGAGAAUUAAUGCACUGAUUAGUAGGAUAAACCUCUCAUAAUCCAGUCAUUUCACCUCUAUGCUUUCUUGCAUUGUCUCACACAUGGGCUUUUGGGGACAUCUCCUAUCUAAAACAUAACAUCUUUUUAUAUGAUUAGAAGCCAUUUGUAAUGUGAUCCACAUCUUAAUGAACCACAUAUCACUUCUGUGUUGCAUUGCUCCAUAGAUGUUUAUAUUUUAUCCUCUACUUUUAGAAACUCCUUACAUAUUAGGACAUUAAUAAUUUGAAUGUGAUAUACUGCAGAUAUAUUUUCCAAAUUUGUCAUUUGACAUUUACUUCAUUUUUAAAAGUAGGUGAUGAUGGAAAUCAAAUUACUAUGGAAUUAAAUUCCACUGGACACUUUGAAAAAAGAAUUUAUUAUAAAAUGUAAUAUUUUAUCAUAUAUUUGACUUAUAUUCUUUUCUACUGUUAAAUAUGUGUUUUAAAGAUUUUUUAGGAGAUACAAGAAGAGGUACCUGAGGAAAAUCAUUUGAAGGUUACAGAUCCUCAUGAGUAACUUCUUUAGUUUGGCACCAACAAAAGAGCCUGGGCAGAUAUCAGGAAAGUUUAUAUGACUUUGUAGUCUGAAAGUUGAAGUUCAGACUUUGCUGAGUCACCAUAGGCAGGUUUCUAAACCGAUUUGAGCCUUGAUUUCCUCAUACAUAAUAUAUAAAGAUAUUCAUGUAUCUCCCACAUGGGGUCAUUAUGAAGAUUAAGUUAUAUAAUGUCAAUGUGCCUAAAAUAUACAUAGUAGUCCUUAAAUAUUUUUAUGCAAUGUAAGCUUAAAAAAAUAAAAGACAUAGUUAGCUUUAUCAUACUGUCAGUUAUCCAGGAUCAGAUUAUGUUCCUAUGAAUUUAUGAUUUUUCUGCUUAUUUUUCACAGUCUAAAAAGAAAGACUAAAAAUGCUAAUACAUUUGUAUGGUGAUGUUUAGUAUGUCAUUCGUUUCUUUAAUAAUACCUCCUUUAGGUGGGUAGUGUAUAUCAGUUACUAUGAUAAAUAUAGAUAUUUGGAGAUAAGACAUGAUCCCCACCUGCAAGGAACUAUCAGUGAAAUAGGCUAAUGAGUGAACAAACGUAGCAAAAGCAGUGCUGGUUUUGCUGACAGAAGUAUUUAUACAUUGUUGUGGACGCAUAGAACUCUUAACCUGAGAGAGACAAAGAAAUAAGAUCAAAUCAGAUAUCUUAAAUCAGAUAAAUAAUAUAAAGAAUGAAUAAAAGUAAGUAAGAUGACAAAGGGUGUGGUAGGAAGAGGAAACAGGUGGGCAAAUAUUCAAGAGUUCAGAGCCUGAGAGCUGCUGUACCUUAAGUAUAGCUGGAGCACUAUAUAUACUUGAGAGUGACCAAGGUGGGCCUAGAGAUGAAGUUGGAAACUGGGUCAUGGAGGGAAGUGCAGGUCUUACCAAGGAACUUGAAUUAAUAAUGGAGUGUUGUCAGCAUGAAAGUGUCACCAUCAGACUUGUGUUGUUCACAGAUUACUUUGGCUGCAUUAUGAAGAGUUGAUUGGAAGAAAAAUUACAUAUAAGACUUCUGUGCUCAUUCAUCCAGUUAUUUAACAAGAAUUUAUUGAAGUCCUUCAUAUUCCAGGCCUGUGCUAGACACUGAGAAAUCCUAAAUGAAGGCAUUGUCAAUAUGUUUAGACAAUUUGUUGACAUAGCAGAGAAUGGGUUUGUUGUGUUGGGAGAGGUAUUAUGAAAUCUGGUUUAUGUGUCUAGAUUGUGUUUGAGGAGGAAUUUUCCUGUUCCAACUUGUUUUUAACUAUUUGAAGUACUUUUUUGCAUUUCAAUAAAAGACUAUAUUUGUAAGAAUAUACCUUUAAACUUGCACACCUAGUACACCUUGAUACAAACAAUAUAUCUACAUAAUCAGCAUUUAGUUCAAGAAAUAGAACAUUUCCCUUCAUGUUUCCUUCUAGUCACCAACAUUUCACAAUUUAUAAAAACAUAGAUUUAGGUGUUUUGUGCCGCAGUCUGGCUGGGCACAAAAUCACGAGCCACCACACAGCUUGUAGAUUCAAACAGCAACUCUUUAUUCCCGAACUCACACCAGCCGUCUACAAUCACGUUCUGGGGAAAUCCACGUUCUCUGCCCAAAUCCACCCCCACUGGGCUUCUGUCUCCCCAAAAAUACUGUCUGAAUCCCGUGAGAACUCAAGGGGAACUCAGGCAGCAGGAUACGCCCUAUUCCCAGCAGGAAUAACCUUAAACCUGGAAUGUCCUAAACCGGGAACGCCCUAAACCCCGAUUAUCCUAAACCGGGAACACCCUAAACCCGGAUCCGCCCUGGUCCUUGAGCAAGGUCACCUACAUGCAAUGUCACUGCAAAAUGUCCUAUUUCCACGAGUCCUUCCACUAAGCAACAUGGGGUAUGCUGGCAAGGAAAUUGUCAUACCUACUUGGCUAAUGGCUCCCAGCAGUUUUGUUUUGUUUUGUUUUUGUUCAUUAAAGUUAAGUGGUAUGUAUUCUUUUGUGUCAUCUUCUUUAGUUCAACAUUAUUUUUAUGAUAUUCAUCUAAAUUAAUGUAUGAAUCAUAUUUAUUCAUUCUCAUUGCUGCCUAGUAUUCCAUUAUAUGACUAUAUCAUACUUUAUCAUUCUACUUAGAUGAAUAUGUAUAGUUUCUAAUUUGGGGUUAUUUCAAAGAGACAGUUCCUAGUAGCAUUCAAGUGUAUGUUUUUGAUGCACAUACAUUCCUGGGUCCAUCUAGGAGUGAAAUUAUUAGGUCAUAGAAUAUAUCUAUUCAGUACUACAUGUUUUUUUUCUGGUGCUUUUACUAAUUUGAAUUCAUACUUCAAAUUUUGCUAGUGUUUUAAAUUUUAAUCNGGGUAAGAAAAAUGAGAAAAUAUGAUGAGUCACUAUGAGGAGAUUGUAACAAACUUAUAGCCCUUUCACAUUUUUUUAUCUUGAAUUAUUACUUCUCUAAUAGUUCAAUCUGAAGUGUUUCCUAUCUCUUUUGGAAUUUUAUGUUAUUUAUUGUCUAUGCUAGAGCUUUCCCAACUUUUUCAACUUAAGAGACUUAGGAUUUGGAGAAGUUGAAAGUAAUAAGCUGAGGCUGUAACAACCUCAAACCCACAGGUGGACAUGGGUGCUGAGGGGAUUAAGAUCUUGGCCUAUGAGUAACCCAUUUAUGGCACAACCAUUAGAAAGUUCUACUUUAUAACAUUAAUUUCAAGGUUUUGUUUUUAGGUAUUAUUAUUUAAUGAAUUAACCAGUGCUUCUCAAACUUUGGUAUAUAUCGUAACAUCAUAAGCAAUAUCUAAAAAGCUUGUUAAGCACAAAUUUCUGCAGUCUACUCCCAGAUCUUUGGAUUCAUAAGGUCUGGGAUGAGGUCCAAAAAUUGUGUUUCUAACUGUGAUGCUUAUGCUACUGGUCCAGGAACCACAAAUUUGAGAAACACUGCAUGCACCUUGUAACUCUCAGCACAGAACCUUCGUAUAUGGUUGCAUCUCAAUGGCAUUAAUAGCAUUUAAAGUUUGAAUGUUUAAAUGAGUCAACAGUAGAUGAAAAAAGUCAUAAUUUCAAUUUAUUCUUAAGGAUUUGUAUAGAUAGACACCCAUUGCUCCAUGAAGAUGUCUUUUACUUUUCAAGGUAGAAUUCUCCACCCUUCCUUUAUAUUAUUGCUGAAAUUUAUACAUACAUUCAGUUGUGUACUCACACAUUAUUUUGUAAUUUUUACUUACAAGUAUGUCUAAAAACUUCAUAUUUUUGAGCCAAAUAGGUUUAUAUAGCUUCAAAUGUGAGUUCUUAUACUUAUUGUCUCUAAAACUUAGCAACUUACUUAUAGCUCUUAGUGUGAGUUCCUAGUUUUAAGACUGUGGAUGAUAUUGUGGACCUUGUGAGCAUUAUAUGAGGCUCCAUUGUGGAGCCUCAGUAGAUGAUGGUGCACCUUCUUUUUCACAUACCAGAUUCAUAGUAUUCUACUAAUAAUUGUACCCCAGUGCUUGGUACCAUGAGUUGCACUCAUUUGAUAAAUGAUGAGUCAAUAAGCUAACAAGUCCAAGUACACCUAUGAAUCUUAAUUAUUUCUGGUUUAAUUUUUUAUAACCUCCAGUUUCCUUCAGUUUAUGAAAAAUAUCACUGAGUUCCUGAGGCCAUGUCAGACUAAUUCAGGGACUACCUAAAAACUGCCUGAAUUUGGGGUAGAUUGGUCUCUUCAUAUCCUUUUAACAAGAAGAAGUCAAAGUUUCCUUAAAAUCUAGACAAUUUUACAUUUCUCUUGGACAUGAACGGGCUAAAAUGGGUCCAAGGUCUAUGGAGAAACCAUAGAAUGAGUACAUAAUAAUUUGUCUACACCUAUUUUCCUUAAUGUUAGACCUGCUCCUCACUUAUUGGACUUAUCUUUGCAUAUACUUGAUUCUAAACCAUUCUGAAUGGAUUAGAAAAGUUAGGUACCUGAAAGUGUUUCUUGGGUGCAUUUUUGCUACAUGAUAGAUUGGUGAAAGUUUAAUAUUGAGAACUGAGCAAUAAAAUUUCACCAUCAGUGUAUGUCAGUGGUUCUUAAUCUGAUAGUUUUAUUCCCUAUUCACUACCUCAAUUCCAGGAGAACUGGCAGUGUUUGGAGGUAUUUUGAGUUGUUACAUGUCAAAGCCUGAGAGAGGGCAUUGCUUGCAUCUAUCCAGUCAACAGACAUCACUGAUGUUGCUAAAUGUCCUACAAUGUAGGAGACAGAUCCUUGAUCCAUACCACCAUUAUGAUAAAUAAUUUUCCAAUGACAAACGUCAAUAGUGUGGAGACUGAGAAAUUAUGGUAUAUGUUUUUCUUUUUUAUAAUUUAAUUUUGGAAAUUAAUUAUAAACCAAUGGAAAAGUUCUAAAUAAAAAAGACUUGUUAUAAAGAGCAAAUUUAAAAAAUGGCUAAAUUGAUGCUCUUGAAGACUACACAUAGCAAAGGAAGGUACCAUCUAUUUUAUAAUUCAAUAAAUGACAAGGAGAGUGUACUAUGUAAUUUCACUUCACUUCCCAAGCUUUUAUCUUAGAAAGGAAUUAACAUAGGUAGAUAUUGUAUCUAUGUCCAAAUGAUUGGCUUUAAAAGCAUUUAUAAUGAAAGAUUAUUCUUUUUCUAUUCUUCUCUUUAUUUCCUAUUUGAGCCAAAUGGAAAAAAGUAAAUUUAGUUUGAAAAUGUCUAUAAUGCAGCUUGGCCUUUUAGUGCUGCAAAGAUUUGUCCGUUUCAAAAGAGUCCUUGAGCAUUUCUCAGGAAGGUCAUUUUGUUUUGCUUUAAAAAAUGAAAAUAUGUUGUCUGCAUUGCGUAUAGGCAUAAAAUCAGUUGGUCACAUGACUCUUUUCCCCCUAAGGAGCCAAAAAAGCAGGGAGCUAAUGUGACUGAAUUGUGAAUGCACCACUCUGGUAAUCAAUUAUUUCUAAAACACAGCCAUGCAUGUGUUAUAUUUUAGAAUGGAAAGAGCCCUUUGAGAGAACAUUAGAUAUUCCCUCCUAUUCUGAAGUAGAAGUUGCUUUGUGAAUCUAGCAAAUAAAAAAGAAUUGGAAGUUUAUUUAAAUUGAUCUGUGUGCUUGGAAGCUAUGGAUGAAAUACUGUGAAUCAGCCAUGACUGUAAUGCAUUUGCAGGAAUCGGGUGCUGCUAUCUGCCUGCCUGGUUUCUAUUUGGCACACCACAGAAAGAUCUUUACAGCAUAUCUCUGCUGUCUGCCACUCUUUGUGACUAUAUGGUGAGAGCAAUUUCACACUCUUUUGUCUUUUCUAUGAAAAAAGCAGAAGUGUCUGACUGAACAUUUUAUUCAUAUUUUAAGAUCAUCACAGCAGUGACUUGUUCAAAACAAUGUAGCCAGUGCUUCACGAACAUCCAUUCUUUCCCCUCAUCCCUAUCCUUUCUGGAAUGUUUUCCUUGGGAUGUCUCAGAUCAGGUGAUCCAGAUCCUAUAUUUGGCUCCAUCAUUACCUCAUCAUAUGGGAUUGGACCAAACUCAACUCAAAUGUCUCAAUUUCCUCUUAUAUAAAAUGGGUUAAUAAUGCCUGCUCUUGUUAUCUCACAGAAUUAUUGUGAGCAACUAAUACACAUAGUAAAUAUUUUGACCUCUCUCUGCUCUAAUAUUUCUUUUCCAAUGUCUCUUUCGCAGUCACAUACCUAAUGUCUAUGAGAGUAUCAGUAAACACCACUCCUUAAAUACCUGUUGAAUGAAACAUAAGCUAUUUCAAUUUAAUAAUUCUUUCUGCUAUUCAUAGUAAGGGGCAUUCCAUAUAAACUAAACUUUCAGUGAUUCAAUGAGCCAAAAUGUUAAAAACAUCUUUGAAAAUGAUCUAAAGACAAAAAAAAAAAAAUAGAGCAUCUGAACUUUAAUUCUUAAAGUUACUUUAGUUCAUUGUUUAUAGGGGAAAGUGGUCAUAUAAUAUGGAUUAAGAGCUGGGCCUGGGAAUUAGGCUAUUCUCAGUUGACCACUAAUUCUGAAACUUACCUGUGGCACUGUGUAAGUUUCUUAAAUGAUAUAAACUUCAGUUUAUGUGUGUCUGUGAAAAAUGGAAAACUAAUAAUACAUUGCUUAUUGUAUUAUUCUGAGGGUUAAAUGAGGUAAUUUGUACAAGUGCUUAGCAUGAUUCCUGAUAUGUAGUAAUUAUACAUAUUAGGGUAGGCCUAUCUGUGGUAACAAAUAUGUCCCCCAAAUAAAUACUGAUUUAGCUACAACAAUUUAAGACUUAUAUUCUUAUUUAGGAGGUUGCUUACUUUUAUAUAAUGUUCAGGAAUUCAAUUCCUUUCUUUUAAAGACCCUGCCUUUAUAUCUAAAUUAGCAAAAUAGGAAGAAGAGGAUAGACAGGGCAGUUGGUAGGCAAUUACCAUAUUGCUCCUGCAUUCAUCCAUUGAUGAGAACUUGAAGAAGAAAGAACAAAUGAGAUGGUUGAUGUCUUAAUCUGUUUUGUGAUGCUAUAACAGAAUACCCUUGACAGGGUAAUUAUUGAUGAACAGAUAUUUAUUUCUCGGUUUUUGAGGCUAAGAAGUACAAGAUCAAGGUACCACCACCUGGUGGGGGCUUUCUUGCUGUACCAUUCCAUGCCAGAAAUAAAAGGAAGAGGAGAAUAGAUUAACAUAUCCCUUUAUAAGGAACCCACUCCUGCAAUUUUGAACUCACUUCCAUAAUAAUGGAAUUAAUCCAUUUAUGAGGACAGUGCCUCCAUAACCCAAAUACCUGACUUUGGCUCCACCUUCCAACACCUCUGCAUUGGGAAUCAAGUUUCCAACACAAGAACAUUGGAGAAACAUAUUUAAACCACAGCAGUUAUGAUUACAAGAACCAUACUGGAUUACUAGAUGAAAGGAACAGUAGGCAUUAAAGCUAAAGAUAAAGCAUUUCAAAAUAGACUGGCUAUAGAGAUACUGGUUUCUCUGAUUUUUUUUUUAGAAAGGCACAAAAAUCGUAAGUAGGAUGGAAAGAGAGAAUUAAGGAUUCUGAUUUAGAAUAUUGAAUUAGAUCUCCAGAAGAAUAUCCAUGUGGGAGAGUCUUUCAGGCAAUUAGAGAUAGAAGAUUGAAACUGGGGAUGCUAUGGAGUUCAGAGUGGUUAUUCUUAUAGAACUAUUUGAGCCAAAUGGUUAUAAAUAGUUAUAUCCCUAUGAUUAAAGGCAACUCCUAAAAAGAUGAUUCAUCAAAUUUAACUUGCCUUAUUUAUGUCACAUUUGCCACUACUUUUGCUUAAGUAACAAAAGUGUGAUUAUUACUUUUCAUAGAGUAACUGGACUGUGAAGAUCUUGCGGAUCAUCCCCUUGAACAGAAGUUCAAAGUUGUCCUUAAAUCAGGCCUAGUGAUUAAGUAUGAUAUUAAAUAUACACAUAUAUAUAUUUCAAGAAACAUGUUCUAUAUAUAGAUUAUAUAUAGAAUAUAUAUAUAUAUAUCAAGAUAUAUAUGUGUUCUGUAUAUAGAUUAUCUAUAUAUAGAAGGUAUAUAUCUAUACACAUAUAGAUAUAUAUUAUCUAUAAAGUAGAGAUAAUAAUAACAUCUACCUUAUGGAAUUUUUGUGAAGAUUAACAUACAGUUGUCCCUGGGUGUCUGUUGGGGUAUUGGUUCUAAGACCUUUCGUGAAUACCAAAAUCUUGCAUACAAUCUGAGCACCUUCUCCCAUAUUCUUCAAAUCAUCUCUAAACUACUUGUAAUAGCUAAUACAAUAUAAAGGCCAUAUGAAUAUUUGUUGCACUGUAUGGCUUAAGAACUAAUGGCUCGGAAAGAGCCUGUAUGUGUUCAGUACAGAUGCAAUACUUUUUUAAAAAAUAUUUCUGAUCUGUAGUUAGUUGAAUCCAUGGACAUAGAACCCACAGAUAUGGGAGACCUCAGCUGUAGAUGGUGUAGAUAGAAUAUCUAAGUGCCUAGUACAUGGUAUACUCUCCCAUCUUACUUUCAAAUUAUUGUCAUUGUUACUAUUAUACCCUUAAUUUAAAUAUGCAACACAAAGACCACCCAACCACAGACAGAUUUAAUAGAUGCCCUCAUUUUGCCCUGAGAAGAGUUAUCCUGCACUUAGAGUAUCCAAACUUCAACCUCAACCUCUAAUACGAUACUUUCUAGUCAUCUACAGAAAGGCCAGCUUUCAGAAGAUCUCCUUUUUGUUUAGUGUCCUCUUAGAAAAUAAAAGUAUCUGCCACCCAACCAUACACUGGUUAUAUCCUUGGGAAAAUAUUUGUUUGUUAUUAUGUAGGCCAAAGAUCAGAAAAAACUGCCAAGUAUAUAUUUUCCUUCUGUAUUGUAUUAAAAUAGUAUUUAGGGGUUUAAAAGACUUUUGAGUUCACAAAAGCCAUCUUCUGACUCUUAGACUACUUUAUAUUCAUGUUAUAUUUUCUGCCUUGAAAGCAAUUUAGAAAUACCAACUAAUGCCAUAAAAUUAUGCUACAUUUCUAGGUUAGUUUGUUAGUUGGUUUUGGUUUAUAUUUACUGCUUUCACUUAGAGAUUUUCAUCUAACUUCUAUCCAGUCUUUAAACUUUUAUGUGGUAUUAGUAUGCAAAUACAUUAAAGUUGAGUGAGAUAGAAUAAAAUACAAAUAAGUAGAGAGCGCAUUCAUUUUACAGGUGUAAUGUUAAAGAUGCAAGUCUGGAAAUACUUUAUAAUUAUUUGCUAUGAGUAUAGGGGAAUUUCAUAGUUAGAUUUUUGUUCUCAUUUUUUGCUUAAUGUUAACUACAUUAUCCUGACAGCUGAUAGUAAUCUGGUAUAGGGAAGGUGCUCUUGCCAGGUUAUACACUACUCUAUUUCCUUAGGAAAGAUAUUUGUAAUAUACAAAGUAUUCGGCAGAUUCUUUUUUUCUCUAGCCAAUCUAGAAGGCUUCUUAGUGUAGCAUAUGUCAUUUCUCCAGGUAAGCCAGUCAAUCUCUAUAGGAAUAAAUGAGGAAAGUGUUGCAUGUAGAUCCAGGAGGUUAGAUCCCAUAAGAUUCAUCCUGAAUACAAGGGGAACCUAUCAGAGAUUUUCAGGCACUAAAACGGAACAUUAUCUGAUGUAUACUUUUUGAAGAUUCUUUUUGGAGGUAACAUCAUAAGAAUAAAAAAUAGAAGCAAGACCAAUUAAGAGACUUCUGCAGUACAAGCAACAUACGCAUGAGGAUCUAACAAGGAAAAAUGCUCCUGCACAUACUACCAUUGGUUUUAUACUACUAUUGGUUAGUGCACCCCAGAACUCAAAUUAAGUUACCACAGUGAAUGGUAGAAGUAAGGAAGAUGACAAUGAAGAUGGUAAAAAUAAAUGCAAAAGAGAAUUGGAAAAAUAAUGCAAAAUAGUUAAAAGGACCUGGUAAUAAAUAUAGAUUGAGAGAAGGAGAAAUCAAUGACAGUUUUCUAAUUUUGAGUUUGAAGUUGUGCUUACAGAGAUGGGGAAGAUCCAGGGUUUAAAUGAUUACCUGUAGUCUUACUUCACUACUGGACCAGAGCUCCCCACAGGCAGGUAACACAGCUACUAACAUAGUAUCUGGCACAUAGCAGACCUUCAACACAUCUUUAAAUGAGAAAAGAUAGAGAAUUAUUAUGCGAAAGUAGCAUAAUAUCACUAUCAAAAGAGGAGAGUAUAUAGUGAUGCUCAGAAUCCCUGUAGACACUAAAAUUCCCAGAUGCCUAAGCCCUUAUAUGAAAUGGUGUAGCAUUUGCAUAUAACCCUUCCAAUUUCUCCCAAAUACUCUAAAUCAUCUCUAGAUUGCUUAUAAUGUAAGCUGCUGCUAUAAUAAUAAAUAGUUGCUGCUGCUUUGGGAUAAAUCCAAGCAGCCUAUACACCUGGUUAGUGUCUCUGAAAGAAAGAAAAAGAGGGAAACAAAAAAGUAUGUGAAAGAACAAUGGCCAAAAUUUUCCAAAUUUAGUGAAAACUCCAAACCUACUAGCAUAGAUGCCUAUCAGGAAGUUCAAGGAACUCCAAAACAAAAAAUUUGAAAAUCAUACCAAAGUACAUCAUAAUGAAGAUAAUUAAAACCAGUGAGAAAAAAAGAUAAAAAUAGAGGAGGAAAAGAUACAUUUCACACAGUGGAACAAAGAUAAGAAUGACAUCAGAUUUAUGUUUGUAAACAAUGCAAGCCAAUGGAGCAAUCUGUUUAAGUAUUGUGAGGAAAAAGCAAAACUAGAAUUAUAAACCCAGAAAGAUAAUCUUUCAAAUAAAGGUGAAAUAAUCGUUGUCUUAUGCAUACAACAAUAAAAAAUAAAAAUUCGUUACCAGCACAUCUGAAGUUCUAAGAAUAUUAAAGAUCUUCAGCCAAAGGAAAAUUGUACCAGAGGUAAAUAUGCAUCUACUCAAAGGAGCAAGGAGUCAAUGGAAAUGAUAAAUGCAUAAAUAAAUGCAACUUAAGACAUUUUAAUCUCUGAAAAUAAUUGUUUAAAGCAAAUAUGGCAACAGUGUAUUUGGUGGUUUAUAACAGAUGUAGCAGUAAAAUGUAUGACAGUGAGUCAACUAAGGAGAUAAAAUCUUUUAAAAAAUUAAUUAAUGCAAAAGAAAUGAGACAAAGAAGCAAAGGCAAUUCAAUAGAGAAAAAAAUAGUCUCUUGAGCAAAUGGUGCUGAGAUAAUUGGAUGUCAAAUUGGAUAUAUAUUCAAAAGCAAUGAAAUUUAGCCCAUACCUCUCACCACAUUCAAACAUUAUUUCCAAAGGGAUCAUAGGCAAAUAUAAAAUAGGCAAAUAUAAAAUAAAAUAUAAAAAAAUAAAGCUUGGCUUAGACAAAGAUAUUUUUAUGUAUAACACCAAAAACAAUUCAUAAAAAGAACAGAUCCUAAAUUAGAUAUUUUCAAUAUUAAGGACUUCUUUCUUUAAAAGAGACUGCUAAGAGAAUAAAAAGAUGAUCCAUAGAUUGGGAGUAAAUCUUCAUAAAUCACUUUUCUAAUAAAGGACUUAUAUCCAGAAUAUAUAAAGAAUUUUAAAAAUGUAGUAAUGAGGACACAAUCAACUUUUUCAAAAGUGGGAAAAUGACUUGAAAGCAACUAUUAAAAUCAUCAUAGAGAUGUAAAUAAGCAUAUGAAAAAGUAACUCAAUGUUAUUAGAUAUUGGNACAAUCAACUUUUUCAAAAGUGGGAAAAUGACUUGAAAGCAACUAUUAAAAUCAGCAUAGAGAUGUAAAUAAGCAUAUGAAAAAGUAACUCAAUGUUAUUAGAUAUUGGGGAAGUGCAAAUUACAACUACAAAAAAUGUUAAAUCCCACCAUAUAUACCUAUUAGAAUAGCAGAAAUUAAAGAGACUUUUCCAUACCACAUGUUGACAAGGAUGUGGAAUAACCAGCACUCUUGCACACUGCUAAUGGGAAUAUAAAAUGGUACAGUACUUUGGAAACAGCUUGGCUGAUAUUUGCCUAUCAUGCAGUUCCAUCCUAUCACUUUCAUAAGAAUAAGAAGAAAAUAUCCAUAUAAAAAUUCUAUAUCAAUUUUCAUAGCAUCUGUGUUUGUAAUAGUACAAAAUUGGAAAUAAGCUAAUUGUCUAUCAACAGAUAAAUGAAUAAACAGAUUGUGACAUCUCUAUAUAAUGGAAUUCUACUCACCAAUAAAUAGAACAAAAAAUUGAUACACAGAAACAAUAUGAAUAAAUCUUAAAUACAUUAUACUAAGUGAAAGAGGCCAACAAAACAUUAUAAGUAUUUUAUAAGUCCCUCAAUCUUUCAUGAGAGAAAGCAGAUCUGAGGGUUAGGGUGGGUGGGAGGUUUGAAAGGGCAAGAGAAGAGGUUAUAAAAAGUACCAAGAAAUUUUGGGAGGGAAGAUACAAACAUGUUUAUCAUCUUAAUUGUGGCCAUAUUUUUAUGGGUAUAGUCUUAUGUAAAAAUUUAUCAACUUGUACACUUUAAAUCUGUACCAUUUAUUCUAUGUCACUUAUACCUCAAUAAGGCUGUAAAAAACUUAUUCUAAAGAAAGCAUGAUUAAAAAAGAAAUAACAAACAUAGUGCAGGUUGUGCCCUUCUCAGAGGUGCCCAGUUACAAGAAGAAGUGAGUCUGAAAUUCAGACAUUUGUGCCAUUAGUUGGGAAGAAGUGUAUCUUUUUGUAAUUCAGCCACCUGAAGAAAGAUAGGGUAAUUUGCUUUAAAUGUCAUCUCUGUGUAAGAAGCAGCCUUGUUAUGAUCAUAAUUUAUUAUACUUUACUCUAUUUGAAGAUAAGAAAAAAAAGAAAAGAAAUUGCUGGACUUAAAAGUUUGUGUACACACAAGAAAUCAGAUCACAACUAUUCAUUUGAGUUAAUAAGAAAUAUGAAAAAAAACUAAACAGUUGUGUUCAUAAUGCUUUUAUAAACUACAUAUUUAAAUUUUAAAUAGUAUCUGUUAUAAAAAAUAAGAAAAAUGAACACAUUUACACCUUUCCAACUGUCCUCCAUAUUUUUUGAGCUUUAUCUUUAUGUGAUUAUUUUGACAUCAUCAUCAUCAUAAUUGACAUAAUAAUAAUAUGUCAAUUUAUUGUCAGAAUAAAAAUAGAGAUAACUGUGAAUUAUGAUGAAAGAACUAUAACUAUGGAAGACCUUGAUUUCAAUUUGAAAUGGACUUAGUGCUCACUAUGUCUCCGCUAUCAAACUGCAUUUUGUAAGGAGGUACUGCUAUGAAAUUAAUGUUUAUGCCCUCCUCCCCACAUUCAUAUAUUGAAACCUAAUCCAGAUGUGCUAAUAUUUAGAGGUGGGUUGAUUAAGCCAGGAAGGUAGAUCCCUCUUGCAUGGGAUUAGUGCUCUAAUAAGAAGCUCAGAGAGACCCUUUCUGCUUCUGCCUUGUGAGGACACAUUAAAACCAUGGUCAUUUAUGAACUAGGAAGCAGAAUAUAUUCAGACAUCAUAUUAGCAACUUUAUCUUGGAAUUUUCAAUCUCCCAAACUGUGAAGCAUAAAUUUCGGUGGUUUAUAAAGCACCCAGUCUAUGUAGUUUCUUACAGUGGCCCAAAUUGACCAAGAAAAGGUAUGUUGGACACUUCGUGUACACAUUUCUCACCUGACUAGGUAUAUACUUUUGGGGCCACAUUUUUUUUCUCUUAGGUUUUUGUAAGUAAAACUUUACUUUUUUGGUAUUGAAGGUUUUCUAGAUGCUUAUAUUAUUCACUAUUUGGAAGGAUAUACCAAUAACUUCACUGGAACUUGACAUUACUUCUAUUUUAUAUUCUGGAUCACAAGGUGACUCAUCAAGCAACAAAUUUAAAUUGCUUUUAUUUCAUAAAAGUUUUCUGCUUCCAUGUGUCCUUCUUGUUCUCUUUUCUAGGAAAACCAGUUUUAUAUAUGCUAUUUGUGUCUGCAGCAUUAUUAUAUUUCUCUUCUAUUUCAAUCUAAGGCCUUUUCAGCCUACUUUUUUUUUGUCUAAGUGGUUUUAAAAUAUAUGUUUUUAAUAAUUAUUUCUUUUUAGUGUAGAAACUUCUGAAAAGAGAUCAUUGAAACUAUGGAGAAAUAUUAUUCUGAAUUUUUAUUGAGUUUCUUAGAGCAAUUUAUUUGUGAUGUAGUUUUGUUCUAUUCUUCUCUUUUUUCAAAAAACUUUUUAGCCAGUCCCUGAGUGGUCCCUUUGCCAUUAUUACUCACACUUAAAUUAUAUGUCCUAUUUGCAAAGGAAUAAUAUGAUCCUAAGGCUGGUGUGGAAGAUAAGUUGGGACAGUUUGUUGUUUUGUCAUAAAUAUUCUGUCACCAAUUCUGUUAUUUCCUUUGUCCCAGGGGCAAGUCUUCUCUAAUUUUUGGACAUUCUUGGCAAAUAUUUUUCUGCAGAGGGCCAGAUAAUAAAUAUUUUAGACUUUGAUAGUCAUUCUGUUUCUGUCUCAAUUAUCCAACUCUCCCAUUGUAGCCUACUAUGAAUUGCAUCCCCUUUCUUAGUCUGGUCAGACUGCUAUAACAAAAUACUAUAAGUCACUUAGCUUAUAAAAAACAAAUUUAUUUCUCACACUUCUGGAGACUGAGAUCCCAGAUCAAGGUGCCAGCAGAUUUGGUGUCUUGUGAGGGCUGGCUUUCUGGUUCACAGAUGGUGAUUUUUUGCUGUGUCCUUACAUGGUAGAAUAUACAUGCAGCUUUCUGGGGUCUCUUUUCUAAAGGGACUAAUCCCAUUUAUGAUAAUUCUGCAUUCAUGACCUAAUCAUCUCCCAAAGCCCCCAUUUCCUAAUACUCCCUGUCUUCCUUUUAUGAUAGGGAGCUGCUCACAAGGGGACUCCGGCUUCUCCCACUCUCUCCUGGUACUGAGAGUUCCAGUUAUAGAUCAUCACCAGGCCUUCCACUCUUGUGACACUUAUUUUUGGACAAGGCUGCAUCCUGUUCAGAGCUGGAGAUUUGGGCAUAUUCUCAUCAUUCUCAUUUUGGCAGAACUUUCCAUUGUAAUUGGCUUCUGUGUGUCAUCUGUGGUUUAGGCUUAUGGCCAUAUUCUUAUUUUAUAGGUGAAAGAGUGUUGAAUUUUGUCCCUCCUGAUUUCCAUUAUGUCACUAGACUUUAAGAACUGAAGCAAAUAAAAGUUCCUGUACUUACACAUUUUUGAAAGAAAGACAAACAAAUAAUUCUGAACAGUUGGGAAUGUAUCUGUGUUCCCAGAGCAUAUCUCAGGGCCCUGUCCAGAGCAAAUUUCUGCUGAAUCACUAGUGUUCUUGAUUUUCCCCAUUUUAUAUUUCUCUACUUCCUUUCUCUACACUGGGACUACCAUUACAAAUGCUGACUUCUUUGCAUGUCUGCACCAGCCUCCAGACUUGCUUCUCUGACCUGUCCUUGUUCUUCACAAAUUCAUUCUCUACUUUGCAGCCAAAUGAUCUCAUAUCACACAUCUUGUUUUAAAUUCUUCAGUAGCAGCUCUUUUUUCUUGGAUAAGCUCUAGAGACAAGCACAUAGUAUUCAUUCAGUAAAUAUCUGUGAAAUGAAAGAUUGUAGGAAAUCAGGAGUCUUAGGCCUUGAGAUGGAACAGAGAUAGGUCAUAAAGUUGUAGUAUCCCUUUUGCCAGUUCAUUAAAUCUUCACUUGCUUCAGUUCUUUUGUCUAUAAAUAUGUGCUUAGGGCCAGAAACAAAAAUAAGACAAUGUAUAAAUGUGUUGGUUCAUGUCUGCCAAGAAGCUUAUAUCAAGAUAGGAUAAGAUACACAAGAGAUUCAUUGAGAAAGGGAAGAAGGAAAAGUGAGAAGAGCCUCCAGGCUACAGUGGACAUCUGACAUGAAUGAAAGGAGAGAGGGAUGGAGGAGUCUCAGGCUACAGUGCAGUUCUAAGGAAGGCUUAACCAGACCCAGGACAAGUCCUGGAGUCAAAACCAUCCAUAAGAGGUGAGGUGAAUGGGAUCUGUAUUGGUAUACACCAUCCCCUCCUUGACGCUCCCACUGAUGUGAGCAGCCUAUGGAAGUAUGGCUUUUUUAUUAAAAGGGUGAUGGACCAAGACAGGCAAAUACUUCCCACAGUAGAAGAUCUGAGCAGUGCUGGAUGUGGUGGCAUAUGCCUAUAAUCCCAGCAAUCGGUAGACUAAGGCAGGAGGAUCACAAGUUGGAGGCCAACCUCAGCAACUUAGUGAAGCUCUAAGUGAGACCCUGUCUCACAAUAAAAAAUAAAAAGGACUGGGAAUGUAGCUCAACAGUAAAGCUUCUCUGGGUUGAAUCCCCAGUACAAAAGAAAAUGAGGAAGAGGAAAACGAAGAGGAAGGGGAAGGAAAGAGGGUGAGGAGGGGGAAGAACUGAGCAGUACAUUUUGCAAAGACCCUUAGAGUUAUGAGAUGAUGAGACAAUAAGCAUAAGAAAAAAAAUCAUCUUUCAACUACACAAUGGCUGUCUAUUUAGCUUGUGAGCUUCACAUCAUAGACCCAUCACCCUUGCUUUUUAAGUCUCUUUUUCCUGCUACAUUCCUUUUAUCCAUCUCACUCAGAACUUUUAUGUAGAGGUUGGCAGGAACAGAGAAGCAGAACUUCAGACCAUUCCUUUCAGCUGUUGGGCUUUUAGGAGGACCCAACCCCCAUCCUCCAACCAUCACCACAACCUUUUAUAUUUUAUCUUUCCAUUUCUGAGGAAUAAUUUUCUCUUCUUAAAAUGGUAGCAUGCAGCAGUGUUUAUGCAACUGUUUUGUUACAGAUGAUGUGAAAUUACAUUUGGGUCAGUAAGUUUUAAGGUCCUACAUCUCUAUUAACAGAUAAAAGCAGUGAUACUAUAUUAUUAUUAUCUCCUGUACUUCAUCUCUUAUUGAUAUUUACUUAAACAAUUGACUAUUCUGUGGCUUUCAAAUUAAAAAUGAAGGGAUAAAAACCCCAAAUCACCAUUGUUUCCUCCAUACUUAAAAUAAAAAAAUGUUCUUAAGGAUCAUUUUUAAUUUUUUUAAGUCCUUAGGAUUUAUCCAGGAAGUUCCUUGAGUGGGGUCCAGAAAGAGGUGUGGCCAUCCAUUUCUGACAUUUUCCAGGGCUGUGUCAGAAAUUAUUCUGUUGGCCGAUGUUCAGCUGAAUGAGUCAAGGCCUUAGAGGCAUUGGCUUAUGAGGCAGGAUUUUGGUAGGAUUUUUUAAAACUGCACUACUCCUAUAAAGAAAAUGAAGCUUUAAAUAAAACAUGCUACUUUAAUCUUAUAUAAUCUUGAAAGCUGGAAGUACUAGGCUAUUAAAAACAAGCCUGAAGGCCAAAGCAAAUAUGGCUAUGAAACAGGCAAACUCUCGGGGAUGUUACCCAAGGAGGAUCACAAAGUGCUAACAGCUAAACCAAACUCUUGAUCUUGAUCUCUUUUAAAUAGACCUAACAGGUAAAGCGUAUGACUACUUAGGGACAAAAUUGGGAUGUGACAGAAUGACUCUUUCCCAAAACUUCUUUAAUGUUAGGCAAUAUAUUUUAGAGUUACAGAUGAAACUAAAAACAGUAGCUAAAAAGAAGGACAUUUUUAUAUAAAUAUACACAUGUGUUUCAGACUAUGCAUUUACUCAGACUGAAUUAAAAAAUCUGUGUUCGGUCUACUGCUAGAUUCAAUAGAUGGGAGAUAGUACACAAUUUUUAAAAUUUAAUCUUUACAUUUAUGUGAGGUCUAUAUUACUAUCUCCCUUUUAUACAUAAGUCUUAGCCAAGUGAAGAAUACUCAUGUAACUAGUAAGAGUUGUAAUCAAGACUCAACCUCAAUGUGUCAAACUAAGAACGCAGGUUUUUUUUUAGUACAAGUUGGCUAUUCUUUAUCUUAAAUGCCUAGAAUCAGAAGUGUCUUGGAUUUUGUAGUUUUUCAUAUUUAAGAUUAUUUGUAUAUAAAUAAUGAUAUAUCUUAGGGAUGUAACUGAAGUCUAACACAAAGUCCUUUUAUAUUUUAUAGGCACCUUAACUAUAUAUAUAUCUUAACAGUAAUUUUAUAUAAUAUUCUGGAAAUUUUUGUUCAUGAAACAAAAUUCAUGGUGCGGAAUUGUCCACUGACCAGACCAGCAUCAUGUCAGUGCUCAAGAUGUUUCAGAUCUUGGAGCAUUUCAGAUCUUUGUAUUGGGGAUGUUCAGCCUGUAUACCACAAUGGCUUAAAAGAAAUAGAGAUGAAUUGUCAUUUCUUCACAUUUACUUGAAGAGAGAAGAUACAUUUGUGAAUUAACUAGAGAAUAAUUUGUGGAGAUAUAUGUGAGACUAUAUUCUGAGCACUACAGGAGUACAGAAGUUGCUUUACAAACAGAAAACUCUUUUCUCCUAUGCUCCUCUCUAGCUCCAGGACCCCCUUACACCUGUCUUUCAUAUCCUAAGAGAAUUGAACCCCAACUAUCAGCUGUCCACCACAGCCAGACUGUCAAUAUCCACACCCUCCUUAUUUUCUCCAGUUGGCUCUUCUCUCUGGGACCCACUCUUAGAGCCUCCUGUGGGUCUGUGUUUCCUGGAAUCUGCAACUAUGGUCUUCACAAGUUCUUUUCCCUUGGUCUGUGAAUAUAUUGAAAUCUCGUCUAAUUUUAAAAAGUGCUUCAUCAAAUUACCUCCUAAGACUAGAAGUUUGGCUUCCUUCAACUUUUCUGAGUUUCUUGAGAUUAUAUUACUUUAUUUAUUCCUUUUUUCUAUUCUAAUUGCUAUCCCCUGGUUCUGGCCAAGGUCACUUCAUAAUUACCAACUUUAGAGUUGCCAUUUUCAGCCCUUUGCUAUUAAUCUACUUCUGCUGAUUAAAAUCUUCCCUCUUCUAAUAUAUAUAUUCCUUUUCUUCUCUGGCUGCUUUUUCUUAGUCAUCCUUUCAUCUUUUCAUCCUCAUAAAUACCAGCUGCCCAGAUUUUUGCCUUUACCUUUCUUUUUCUUAGCAAAAUCGCUUUUUCUGAACAACCUGAUACUUGUUCAAAGUUGGAAUUAUUGAUAGUCUGUACUCAUUCAGUCCAGACCACUUUACUGAGCUCUAGCUUCUUUAUACAGUCCCAGCUGGUGUCCCACAGACACUUCAAACUCAAGGUGUCCAAAAACAAAAUUCCCUUCCACACCUCUCCUAUCACUCAUCUUCAUCAAUGUGACACUGCCACAAACCAGGUAGCCCAGACCUGGAAACUAUUCAAGACACUCCCUCUCACACUUGCUUCCUCUCUUUGCUUUUAAUCAGUCCCUUGUAAAUAUGACUCAUACCUGUCCGUCCUCACAGUCUAGUACCAGCCCUAUGUUUUACCUAGUCAUGGUCCAUUGUAACAGUCCCCUGGAUUGUAUCCAGUUUCUUCACCCUAUCCACAGUCUACCCCUUGUGGUGGCUCCAGAUUUGCCAUUAUAAAACCUGCAUUUUAGAGUCUUCAUUACCCAUAAAAGUCAUUCUCAACUCCUAAAUGUAGUAUGCAAACUCUUUCAUGAUCUAGCCCAAUCCUAUCCUUCUAAACACAUCACUCUCUACUCUUCUCCAAAACUGAUAUUGUAGCAACAUCAGAAUCCCUUCAUUUCUCUAGACACCCCUGCUUUCUUCUGCCCCUCAUACACAUUGCUCCUCCUCCUUGAAAUUCCCCUCUUACUCUUCCUAUGAGCCUAUUACUCUUUAUAAAACAUCUCUGAUUUUCUCUAUGAGAUCCACCACUCGUUCCUCUUUGGAAAUCAGUAUGUUUUAUGUACACCUUUGUUCCUAUACUUGUUCUGUAGUAUUAUAAACUUUGUGUUGUUGGUGGCAGAGGGUUGUCUUCUGCCUUAUCCUGGAAUUUUAUUCAGGGAAUAAGAACUCAGUUUCAUUCUAAGAUAGCCAGGUUUUCAAUUGCACAUACAAACUAUUUAACCAUCAUCUUUAUUCUUAAAUGUUAACUGAACUUAUUAUCUAAGUCAGGUAACUCCAUAUUGUAAUAAAUCUGCAAUUAAUUGCUUUCUAAUAGUGUUAUGUGUAUAUGUCUUAUCUAUCCUUCUAGAUUAUCAAAGUUUGGUGUUUUACCCACAAAAUUAUCCUAGAAUGGAUCAGGUGUUUCUUAAAGCUAGAUAGUAAAGUCCAAGAUGGUGGAAAUGCUUUUUAUUUGGGUCUUGAUCUGAUUACUUGUCUAGGAAAUCCCUAUUUCAAUCAUGAAACAAAAUACUCUUUUAUGAUUAUUAAAGAAUUAUGAGCUAAAGAAAUGGGAAUCUGAACUAAUUAACUAAAAAAUCAAACAUUUUCUGUUUGUUCAGAUUAGUUCAGAUUCCCGUUUCUUUAUUUCUCACAAAUUAACCCUUUGGCUUUAUAUUCAGAGCUUUUGUUUGUCAAAAGCAUCUCAGAGCAUAAUAUUUUUUUAAUUACUGUCUGGCAAAUGCUUGUGUGCAUUUAGUCAUUAAUUUUUAAUUUUUCAAAGUCUAGUGAAAAUACAUGUGGUAUGUGUUAUACUCUUGCAUGGAUUCUUCCAGAUAAGUAUAUAUUUCAGAGUAAAACAGAAAUAAUUUUUUGGCUGGGGUGAAUGAGAGUCAGAGCACAGCCCAAGUCAUAUGUCCAUAUUGGAGCGGGACACUGAGUACAGGAUCUAAAGAGAGGAGCACAAAAAUGUCUGAGCAAGAGGGAACAGUGAAACCUGUAGUUCAGAUUCAUGAUUGGAAAAGGACUGUCCAAAAAUGAAAGGGCAUCUGGAAACCCGGAUUCCUGUCUGGCUGUCUCAGCAGCACCAUCAUCAGCUGCUGGCUGUCACACAGGGUUCUAGCAAACCCUGCCUUGAAUGGAAGGAUUGACCAUUUAUUGGCCUAGAGUGAAUAUAGUUGUACAAAAGAAUGGAAGUUCUUAAGUCUUUUUGAGGUGUUGCACUUCUGUAAAACUUACUUAAAGUAUUUGUCCAGAUGCAAAAUGCCUGGGAUCAUUGUUUUAGAAUGAAUUUUAUUCACUAAACUUGACCCAGGAAACUUCUAUAAUCAGUUCUGUUAUUAAGAAACUUCUUUUUCAUUUGAUGUAUUCCUUUCUUCAUUUAUUCAUUCUUGAGACUUGGCACAACUCUUACAUAGAACAUACACAGAAGGAUAGAAAACAAGUGGCCUCUUCAUGUAAACUAAUCAAGAAGGAAGUGAAGCCACCCAAAUGUGGUCUAUGCCAUCUGUGACAAAUAGCAAAACUACGGCCACAGUUUUUUCCUUAACUGUUAACAGUAAAAUAUAAAAUCCUUUUUAUUAGUACCAGAUGUGAAGAAUGCUUAUUAAAAUGCCAUGGCUUAUUAAAUAACAUCACUUCAGACUCACUGAACUAAUAAAGAUUAGGUAUUUUUGCAUUAAAUGUCUGAAAUUAUGUAUUACACACUUCUAUUUCAAAUAUUUGAAUACUAAUAUACACAUACCAAAAUUUAUAUUUAGAAACAGAGAUUUAUACAUCAAGGGCUAAACUGAAAAAUGCUUAUAACCACAAAAGUAGGUUUCAUAUGCCUCUUAUGUUUAAGGUUUCUUGAGGUUUUUAUAUGGCACUGGAAAUAAGUGUUACAUACGUUAGAUUUAUAGGAAAAAGAGUAGAUUUUAAAUUAUAUAAUAUAUUCUAUAAUUUUUAGAAUAUUUUUCCUUGGCUUUCAUGGCAUAAUUAUUUGAGGAAGUCUGUGUUCUUUCCCUUCUCUCCCCUCCUUCCCACUGUCUAAUAUUUUCUCAAAACUAGUUGGGAAAGGAUAGCUUUAACAGCUAGACAGGAACCACUAUAGAGAAUUUUUUCAUAAAUAAAAAGAUUUUGUGUACUUCUCAUCAUGGCUAUGAUCAAAAUAUUUCAAAUUCAAAUUUAAAGUCAAUAAUGAGAAUUCAGUAAGAUAAAUAAAACAUCAUAUUUUUUAUCACUUCAUUAACUGAUAAUUUGGUUGAAACUCUUAAAAUUAUUAGAGAUUAUAAUGCUUUGAAAUAUUUCUUCCCCAUUUUUACCUAUAAUAUGUACUCAAUAUACUAGACAGGUAAUGGAGAGAGAUUUAGGAAAAGGUUUUACUUUUUCUGUUUGAGAUAUUUUUCACCUACAACAGUCAGUCUUAACUUACUUGGACCAAAGUCAGUGUGUAACAUUUACAGACCUUACAUUGUCCAAGGAAACAAAUUUCCAGUGGUAAUCUGGUGAUCAACCUUUUCCACUCAUUUCUACUUAGGCAUUAUUCAGUAAUAUUUAAAUUAGGGCCACUACUAAAUAUAAUCUAUUGAGUUUGAAAUCAACAGGUGGGUUCUGGAUAAAGUAAAGGGCACAUAGUAAAAUGACUUACAUGUUUACCUAUGAUUUUAUUUACUUUAGAAGUAUAUUUGACACUUGGUUUUCAAGGUUUAUAUGAGGGCAUUGAGAACAAAUGAGUCUUUUGUGUUUCAAAGCAGCAGGUGUUGAAAUAGCUUUCUAUUUGACUACUACUAUAGUAGGUAAAGUAUUUAUUACAUGUCCUAGUCUACCAAUAAAAAGUUAUCUGGGUGCUUUCAUGGUUAUCUAACAUAGUUACAUAUUUUAGUCUAGCAUAUUUGGAUAAGUAGGCAAAGGAUACAUGUUUGAAUAAAUCUAUUACCAAAAGCAAUUGUUUUAAAUCUAGCCCUAUCAUAGAACAAAUACCUAAAAUAUUUUUUAUCAUUAAAGUAUGUAUUAACAUGGAUUUAUAAUUACUAUGACUUUAGAAGCACUAGAAAAUUUACCACCUUCUGGGGAAUCUCACCAAAUGAGGCAAGUGACUCUAAUACUACUAAUCAAGAAAGAAACAAAGUCACCCAAAUGUGGUCUCUACCAUCUGUGGUCUGUGAUAAGUAUUAAAACCCACAAUCAUGAUUUUUCUAUGAGACUAUCCAUGAGCUAAUUCUAACAAUUUUUCAUGAAUUGCCCAUGAGAUAAUUCUAGCAAUUCUAGAGUUCCCAAAUCUCCAAUUUGGGUACUUAUCUGCUCCCAGACAACUGUACAACAGAAAGAACAGUUGAAGCACUCAGCAAAUGUUUAUUUCUAUACAUUUCUAUACCAACUAAGCACUCAACAAAUAUUUAUUUAAUAAAAUAUCUAUGUUUCAACAUAUGGGGUUGCCUUAGAUUGUGCAUCUCGUGAUUUUUUUUCCUCAGGGAUCUUUUAUUUUGUAAUUAUGAUAAAAUACACAUAACACAAAAUUUAUCAUCUUAACCAUUUUUAAGUACAGUGAUAUUAAUCCAACUACAUCAUUGUGCAACCAUCAACACCAUCCACUCAAGAAUUUUCAUUUUCCAAAACUGAAACUCUGUACUCAUUGAACAAUAAUUUCCCAUUACUUCCUCUCCCUAGUCCCUGGGAUCUAGUAAUUUUAAGUAAAAAUUAUCAUAUUAAAAUAUUGUCAUAUAUUCAUAAAAUACAUGUUCACCAUCACACUUAUGAAUUUUUAGAUUAACAUGUUAUAGACAAUGCAUAUUUUAUAUUUGUUCUUUUCUUCAAUAAUUUUCGUAGGAAAUGAGAGCUCCUAUGCCUCUGCUUCUCAUUUUACAAACAAUUUAAAUGGUUACAUGCAUCAGGGGCUCAUUUUCAAAUAUUUUCAACAUCUUUAUACUUCAGUAAUAUUUUUCAUUAUUCAAGGACACUGACUUUUGUUGCUUUAAUUUAGCAAAAAAUUGCUACUUUUUUCAAAUGACACUUCACAUUUACAAUGUUCAGACUUUUAAAUAUGUUUAAACAUCAUCCCACAUUUUUCUCCAAGUUGUAUCUUUUCUUUAUGUUUCUAGAGUUCACUGUAAUCUCAUGAACGUGUACCUUUUAUGGAAUAUUUAUAUUUAAGACAAAAUAAUACUUGACCAUACUUUUGUCAAAUGCUCUGUUUUAUCUGAGAAUCCCUGGUUCACUUGGGUUGCAUUGAUUUAUGUUUGGAGUCAAAUAAUCUGACCCUUCAUUCUUGUAUCAAGGGAAAUUAUUAUUAUUAUUAUUAUUAUUAUUAUUAUUAUUAUUAUUAUUAAUGUAUGAGUAACUCUAUUAGUACUCUAUCUCAAGGUAUGGUCAAAGAAGCCUAUUUAUUAUAUUUUACUUCCUCUUCAAACCCUCAGGCUGAAAUUUCUCUGUAGCAAUUCCUCUUAACUCCUAAGUGAGAAUUUUUUAAACAGCUGAACAUGAAUAAUUCUACCAGGUUAUUUCUAUGUUUAUAUGCUUAUUAAAACAUUGCUGAAUUAAGAAAAAUAAUUCUUAAUAUUAUAUUACAUUCAGGUAACACAACUUAUUUUGCUUUCUAAUUUUACCCUACUUGUUAUUCCAGGUCAACUAGUCAUUAAAUAAAUUUGCUUCCAGCCCAAGUCAGAACCAUUUUAUUGGUUGCAUAGGGUUCACUCUAGAGCAGAAAAUAGGCAUUUACUUAAUAUUAUUUGAGAAAUCUUUCCCCUCCUGUGUGUCACAGUGUCUGGAGGCUUGCCAUUGAAGGUUCGUUUCUUGUGUUUAUCGUCAGAUGGUAGGUACCCCUUAAUGUUUGAAUAUCCAUGGGAAGAGAGACUCUUCUCAUUGUCAGUCACCAACAGUUUUAUGAAUUUGCUAUUACCCCAGGGCAAGUAUGAACAGAGAAAUAAGGGAAGGUGGGGAGAGGAAGAGAGAUAGAGAUACAGAUAGAGAUAAAUAGAUAAUAGAAAAAGGGUUGGUAGAACAAAACUUUAUGUCAGUAUUUUGCCUCUUUCAUUCCAAAUUCCCAUAGAGUAUUAUAUACCUGAUACUUUGAAAAAAUAAAGUGUAACCCUCUGUUUUUCAGAAUUUCUUUCAGAAUAAUCAACAAAUAUUUACUUUAUGCUUCCUCUGUGAUACUCAUGGGUGUCAUUAUAUAUCACAUGAAUUAUUGUAUUUACUCCUCUUCAAGAAACUCUAUUUUACCGAUGAGGAAAUAAGACAAAGAAAUUUGGUAACUUUCUUGAGGUCAUGCAGAUAGUAGCUGUCUUUCUGAUUGCUAAACUUAGGAUCCUAACCUCUGCAGUGUUGAUUUUUAGGGUCAUGGGGGACUAUUGAAGGGUCUUUUUUAAAAAAAAUUUAUUUGUUCUUUUUAGUUAUACAUAACAGUAGAAUGUAUUUUGACACAUCAUACCUACAUGGAGUAUAACUUCCCAUUCUUGUGGUUGUACCUAAUGUGGAGUUAUACAUGGUCAUGUAUUCAUACAUGAACACAGAAAGUUAUGUCUGAUUCAUUCUACUGUCUUUCCCAUCACUCCUAUUUCCCCCACUUCCCCCAUUCAAUUCAGUGACACUCUGCUGCUUCCUCCCUACUACCUAUUGUGAGUCAGCAUCCACAUAUCAGAGAAAACAUUCUACCUUUGUUUUUUUGGGAUUGGCUUAUUUCACUUAGCAUGAUAGUUUUAAGUUCCAUCCACUUACCAUCAAAUGAUGUAAUUUCAUUCUUCUUGAAGGGUAUUAAGACAAUUAAUGUAAUCACAUUGUUUUUAGAAAGAUUAAACUGUGAAUAAGAAAAAUAAGGCUGGAGUCAGACUAGGAAGUUAGGAAGCUGAGUUACCUAGGUAAGUUAGGAACCUGAGUUACCUAUGUUGUCCAGGAGGUGUAAGUAAGAAUGAAAAGUGAUGGAUUGACUAAAGUAAGAUUUGGGAGUAGACAACAACAGGAUUUAGUGAGAAUAGGAAGAGAAAUAAAGGAUGAGCUCUGGAUUCCUGAUUUGAAUAGUGAUGCCAUUCAUUAAGAAAGGAACAUAGAAAGAGGAUCAGUUUAGAUCUGGAAGUGUCUGGCCAAGAGAGUGGAGAGGAGGUUGUAGGAAGGCAGCAGAGGAUUCUGAAUUUUGAACACAUGGAGUUUAAGGUGUCUACUAAAGCAUGUGUAAAUCAGAUUGCCACUCAGCACUUGGCUCCAUUGACCUGGAGCUCAAGGCAAGAAUCCAGGUUGGAGAUAUAAAUCUGAAGGUUAUCAGAAUAUGAACGGAAAGUAAAUGAUGUCACUAUGGAAGAACCUACAAACUAAGGAGAGAAAGCCCAACUUCAAUCCCCGAUGAAACAAAAUAAUACUAAAGUAAAUGAACUUAACCUGUAAGGAGGACAAAGGCACAGGGCAGCAAACCAGUAAAAUGAUAAGGAAUAGUCAGAGGGUAGAAAAGACUGUAGGGACAGAGCGGGAGAACAGAGGGCAGAAGGAUCAUCUUCUGAUGAUGUACUUUGUAUACAAUCAGAUAUGAAAAAUUGUGCUCUAUAUGUGUAAUGUGAAUUGUAAUGCAUUCUGCUGUCAUAUGUAACAAAUUGGAAUAAAAAAAAAGAAGGGAGGAGCGGUCAGCUGCAUUAGCUGCUGUGUUAUUGGGGGAUCAAGUGAGGCAGAGACUGGAUUUAGCACUAAGGAGAUUCCUGGUGAUUUGAGGGCAGUAGAAUAAUCGAUAGAAACUGGAAUUGAGUCUUCUCUGUUAGUAAGUAGAUUCAAAUCUUUACUUAAGUCAGAGAAAAAUAACUUGAUUCAUCUUCCCCAUCAGUAAGUAUUAUAAUUACUUUUAUAAUUCCAAAUGAGUUGUGUAGUCCCUCAAAUAAUUCAAUUUUAAUGCUUCAUUUGGCACUUUAUUUUUAUUUCUGGAGGCCCUUUGAUUCUGAUUUUAUAAUCUGACUCUUGUUUUGAGCCUGAUGAUGAUAUUCUUGACAAAAUGGUAUAAUUUUGAGAUAUUAAGAGAGUCAUGAUUUUUUACAGGUGCUCUCUGACAAACGAAGCAAAGAAAGAGCAGGUAAGUCUCCUUGAUCAGCUGUGUUUUACUGUUUAUUGAUAGAAAAUGUUUGAAGAGUUUUGUCUAAUUCCUGUAAGUUUAAGCAUGCCAUAAGUAUUCUGAAUCAUUGAUAGAAAGUCGAUGGUCACUGUGUGAUGUUAAAUCAGAAUAUGUUAUACAUCUUGGAGACUGAAUUAACUCACUUUGUUCUUUCAUAAUCCUCAUGCCAUUAUUUUGUAUGUUUAUCCCCAUUUGGUAAGGUUGAUUUCAUACAGAGAAAACUUGUUUUGCAUAAGUAGUCUUUAUCUUAAAAUGCAUGCUAUAAAUUCAAUAAGAAUUAAAUAGAAAGUUAUAUCUGUACUGAAAAAUCCGCUUAGAAGAGAAGUGAUUUUGAGAAAAUAGUACGUAUGAGGCCACCAUCUCCAAUGUCUUUGAGUUUGGAGAUGUUUUGUGUAAGUCCAGCUAUUUUCUAUCUUAAUUUAUUGAUUUUUUAUUUUAGUGACUUUGUAAAGUAAGAGCUAAUGACUACCUGAAUCAGCUACUUACCGCCCUUCAGCAUCUGUCUUUUACUCUUGGCUUCUUCAUUGUGGAUGCAACAUUGAAAUCUCCUCCUAUUCAUUGUGGAUACAACAUGAAAUCUCCUCAUCAGUCCUUAGGUCAUAUUGGCAUUUACAUACUUAAACAUGGGAAAGAGCCACCUCAAAAUCCUUUUCCUUCAUAUUGGUAGAAUUACAUGUUUCUGAACUGCUUCAAUAUGAAAAUUAAAACUUCUUUUCUCUUGAGUUUUUAUCAUUAAAGCCUGAUUUUGAAAUAAUCUUGUCAAAUAAUGCCUCUAAAAAUAACAGUCUAAUGCUGCCUUCAUCUACAUUGUUAAUCAUCAUUAUUUCCAUUUUUAUAUAUUCAUUUUUCUAUCAUCUGUUAGGAACCAAUUUUAGUUCAUUAUUCAAAAACUCAAGAUCUUAGCUUUAGUGCCUAUUAAUAUUACCACUGGAUCUCUGGGAUAUAUAAUAAUUACUUAUCUAUGGUUUUGGAGUCUAGAGUUAUAGUUACCUGAGGUCAGCCUUGGUCUGAAAACAUUAAAUGGAAAAUUCCAGAAAAAAAAUUCCAUAAAUUUUAAAUCAUAUGCAGUUCUGAGUAGUAUGAUGAAAUCUGUAUUUCCCACUACAUCCUGCUCAAGUGUGGAUUUUUCCCUUUCUUCUCCAUCCACACUAUCUGUGCUACCCUCCUACUACUUACUUACUAGCUUGUCAGCAGAUUGAUUGUUGUGAUAUCACAGUGAUCAUGUUCAAGUAACCUGUAUUUUGCUUAAUAAUGGCCCCAAAGCACAAGAAUAAUGAUACUAGAAAUUUUCUUGUAGUAUAAUGCAUUAAUAGUUCUAUUAGUACUUACUGCCAAUCUCUCACUGUGUCUAAAUGAUAAGUUAAGCUUUAUCAUGUUCAUGUAUGUAAAGGAAAAAGGCAUAGUAUAUGUAGGAUUUGGCGCUACCCACAGUUUCAAGCACCCACUGUGGUUCUUGGAACAUGUCACCCCUGAAUAAGGGGGACUGCUAUCCUUCCAGCUCCUGGAAAGAUUUGCAAGAAGAACUUUUCAGUAGACCAUGGGCUAUAGUGACUAGAUGGAACGUUGUUAUGAAGUGAUGAAGUGUUUUCAGGGAGUAUGCUGAGCCUAGCAGCCGUCUCACUAAAAUUAUCAAUCAGAAUUUGUUCCUCCUGUUCUAUGAAAUGCUUGUAGCAUCAAACAUGCACACUUUUAUCUAUGUCUACAUUUAUGCUUGGAACUUUAACUAUAUUUAACUUUCAACCACCUGACAUCUAAAAGGGAAAUAAGCAAAGCCCUCUUAAAAUUGUACAAAUGUGUCCAAAUAGUAAAUUAUACCAAGUAGAACCCUUUGUGCCUCAUGUCUCUUAUUGAGAUUCCAACCUGAAUCCAAGGAGUUGAUGAUACAUUUGCCUCAGCAAAGAAUGUGCUUCACUCCAGAAAUGACCUAAUUAGGACUUUUCACAAGUGAGAAGCCUGUGAAACCCUUAGACAAAUAAAAUGUUUCUUCUGGAGAUUUGACAAUUGGAGUGAAAGAGAUCUAUUGUCUUCAUAUCAUAAACAUGUCCAGCUUAUAUCUGAAGAAUAGUUUUGGUCCAAUAAAAUCUAUUGUUGAGAAAUUGGUAAACAAG